AGAGUUUGAUUCUGGCUCAGGAUGAACGCUGGCGGCGUGCUUAACACAUGCAAGUCGAACGAACCUUCGGGUUAGUGGCGGACGGGUGAGUAACGCGUGAGAAUCUGCCCUCAGGAGGGGGACAACAGCUGGAAACGGCUGCUAAUACCCCAUAUGCCGCGAGGUGAAAUGAAUUUCGCCUGAGGAUGAGCUCGCGUCUGAUUAGCUAGUUGGUGUAGGUAAUGGCUCACCAAGGCAUCGAUCAGUAGCUGGUCUGAGAGGAUGAUCAGCCACACUGGGACUGAGACACGGCCCAGACUCCUACGGGAGGCAGCAGUGGGGAAUUUUCCGCAAUGGGCGAAAGCCUGACGGAGCAACGCCGCGUGAGGGAUGAAGGCCUCUGGGCUGUAAACCUCUUUUAUCAAGGAAGAAGAUCUGACGGUACUUGAUGAAUAAGCCACGGCUAAUUCCGUGCCAGCAGCCGCGGUAAUACGGGAGUGGCAAGCGUUAUCCGGAAUUAUUGGGCGUAAAGCGUCCGCAGGCGGCCCUUCAAGUCUGCUGUUAAAAAGUGGAGCUUAACUCCAUCAUGGCAGUGGAAACUGUUGGGCUUGAGUGUGGUAGGGGCAGAGGGAAUUCCCGGUGUAGCGGUGAAAUGCGUAGAUAUCGGGAAGAACACCAGUGGCGAAGGCGCUCUGCUGGGCCAUCACUGACGCUCAUGGACGAAAGCCAGGGGAGCGAAAGGGAUUAGAUACCCCUGUAGUCCUGGCCGUAAACGAUGAACACUAGGUGUCGGGGGAAUCGACCCCCUCGGUGUCGUAGCCAACGCGUUAAGUGUUCCGCCUGGGGAGUACGCACGCAAGUGUGAAACUCAAAGGAAUUGACGGGGGCCCGCACAAGCGGUGGAGUAUGUGGUUUAAUUCGAUGCAACGCGAAGAACCUUACCAGGGUUUGACAUCCUGCGAAUCUCUUGGAAACGAGAGAGUGCCUUCGGGAACGCAGUGACAGGUGGUGCAUGGCUGUCGUCAGCUCGCGUCGUGAGAUGUUGGGUUAAGUCCCGCAACGAGCGCAACCCACGUCUUUAGUUGCCAGCAUUUAGUUGGGCACUCUAGAGAGACUGCCGGUGAUAAACCGGAGGAAGGUGUGGAUGACGUCAAGUCAUCAUGCCCCUUACAUCCUGGGCUACACACGUACUACAAUGCUACGGACAAAGGGCUGCAAGUUCGCGAGGACAAGCAAAUCCCAUAAACCGUGGCUCAGUUCAGAUCGUAGGCUGCAACUCGCCUACGUGAAGGCGGAAUCGCUAGUAAUCGCAGGUCAGCAUACUGCGGUGAAUACGUUCCCGGGCCUUGUACACACCGCCCGUCACACCAUGGAAGUUGGCCAUGCCCGAAGCCGUUACUCCAACCCUUGUGGAGGAGGACGUCGAAGGUGGGGCUGAUGACUGGGGUGAAGUCGUAACAAGGUA
rnacentral:rRNA from 1 species